rnacentral:misc_RNA from 1 species
AGAUGAAGAACGUAGCGAAAUGCGAUAAGUAGUGUGAAUUGCAGAAUUCAGUGAAUCAUCGAAUCUUUGAACGCACAUUGCGCCCAUUAGUAUUCUAAUGGGCAUGCCUGUUCGAGCGUCAUUUCAACCCUCAAGCCCUAGUUGCUUGGUGUUGGGAGAUUAUCCUGCCGCAAGGCGGACAACUCCUUAAAUUUAUUGGCGGAGUCGCGGUAAUCCCGAGCGUAGUAAAUCUUUUUUUCCCUCGCUCUAGGUGUUAACGCUGGCUUUCUAGCCGUUAAACCCCCUAAUUUUUUAGUGGUUGACCUCGGAUCAGGUAGGACUACCCGCUGAACUUAAGCAUAUCAAUAAGCGGAGGA